UACGUAGGGUGCAAGCGUUGUCCGGAAUUAUUGGGCGUAAAGAGCUCGUAGGCGGUCUGUCGCGUCUGCUGUGAAAACUCGGGGCUUAACUCCGGGCCUGCAGUGGGUACGGGCUGACUAGAGUGCGGUAGGGGAGACUGGAAUUCCUGGUGUAGCGGUGAAAUGCGCAGAUAUCAGGAGGAACACCGGUGGCGAAGGCGGGUCUCUGGGCCGUAACUGACGCUGAGGCGCGAAAGCUAGGGGAGCAAACGGG
rnacentral:rRNA from 1 species